GAAUGGCGUUGAGGCGGUCAGAUUAGGCCGGGCUGGCUCACACGAGGGUCCCGGGCUUGGCUUUUUCCUGCCCGUACCACUGGACAUCAGCUAGUUCUGGAUAGAGGGAGGAAUCCAGGAAACAGCUAUCAUUGUAGCUCCUGUGGGAGGCCCAAGAAAGGAGAUGAGACAGUUAGUUAGUGGAGGAGGAUGGGUUCAGCCAGGCCUGCACUGAGAAGGAUAUGUUCACCUUGACAGGGCCCUGUGCUAAUCACGAGUCUUUCCUGUUCGGAGCAGUGAGGCCUGAGACCCUCAACAGUGCUGUGUGUACAGAAGGCCCCCAGAAUCCACACAAAGGGGCCGCCUGAAACCUAGAGCAUUUGUGAAGGAGGAAAAUGGAAGGAACAACUGGAUGUUGUAAAUGUUUCUCAUCUGGCCUUAAAAUCCAUGAAAGCUGGAAAAUCACAAGGCAUCUGUGCAUAUACUGGUGGAUUUUAAUGAGAGUCCUGUGUUUGGAGCACCAGAAAUAAACCAGCUUCAGAAGCAAAAACUAGGUUAACAGGAGGAGGAAGCAGAGCUAGAGAUGGAAGGAGACCCAGCCAGCCCGGGCUCCAGUGACAUCGGCUGGUACACGCUUUUGUUUGCUUACGCUUGUUGAACUGAGUUUUUCAUAUGUAACUAACGAAUACUGGCACAUGUGAGACUGGGCAUGAUUCAGAAAAGUUGGAAGAUCUAGAGAGGGAUCUUGCAAUCUGAAGUUUCUUGUUUAGUCACUGGAGGAUCUGAACGUCUAUGACACUCUUUCGAGCUGACACAGUGAAGAACAUAGAAGGAGAACUCACCCAGUCU
rnacentral:lncRNA from 1 species